AUUGAACGCUGGCGGCAGGCCUAAAACAUGCAAGUCGAACGAGUGGCGGAAGGGUGAGUAAGGUCUGGGAAACUGCCUGAUGGAGGGGGAUAACUACUGGAAACGGUAGCUAAUACCGCAUACCAUCGGAUGUGCCCAGAUAGGAUGAGCUAGUUGGUGGGGUAAAUGCUCACCAAGGAGACGAUCCCUAGCUGGUCUGAGAGGAUGACCAGCCACACUGGAACGUAGACACGGUCCAGACGCCUACGGGAGGCAGCAGUGGGGAAUAUUGCACAAUGGGCGCAAGCCUGAUGCAGCAAUGCCGCGUGUAUGAAGAAGGCCUUCGGGUUGUAAAGUACUUUCAUCGGGGAGGCGUGACCCGCAGAAGAAGCACCGGCUAACUCCGUGCCAGCAGCCGCGGUAAUAC
rnacentral:rRNA from 1 species